CCUUCCCUCCCUCUGCUCUGAUUGGCUGUGCCCGUCCCGAGGCGGUUUGCACCGCGGUUCCUCACAGCACCUGCUCCCCAAACCGCGCUGUUUAUCCGCGGUAAAACUGCUGAGCUCUGUGAGAUCGGGAUUUGCAACGUUGUUUGUAGUGAGAAGACGUUACCUAAAAUGUCACAGGAGAAAAGAAAACCUUACUGAUGUUGCGUUUAUCUCGGUCCCCCCCAGCUGCAGAGGGGCACGAGCAGCACGCAGCCCUCCUGCUGUGCUCCUCAGGCUGCGAGGAGAGACCUGCAGCGCUCUGCAGACUACAACCCCGCCUCACCGCCUCGGCUCAUAGCUCUCGGCAGCAUUUGUGAUUCAUAGCAGUCAUCAAAGUGAUAAUAAACUCAUUCACAAUACUAACAAACAUGGGGCUCCCAGUUAUUUACGAGGCAAAUUCACUGCAAUGCUGGGCAGUGGAACAGGGGAGAAUCAAGAUGGUGUUGAUUGAUAAAUUGACAGGUUAAUUUACAAGUGGAUAAUAGGAGUUAGACCCAGAGGGAGCGGCUGCCGGCCCGUGCUCUAGCUUGGUUGCACUGCCAUCUGUCUCGUGCCUGGGAAUCUGCAGGAGCAGCGCCGGUUGGGCUGAGAUGCGAUGAGAUGCGAUGAGAUGCGCGCCCGCUCUUCCGAAAUUGAAGACAAAGAUCCCGAUUUACAGCAAUUUGAAUUUGCUUGCUGUUUCGGCACAGCGCAGCGGACACCCCCUCGUUGCUCCCUUUCACCUCCCUGCCACCCAAAUGCUGCAGCCUUAAAGAAAUGCCAGCAAUAUUUCCUGGCUUUAAAACGUGGAGUGUUUCUAGGCUCCUGCAGUAGUUUUGCUUUGAUUUUUACAGAGGAGAAGAAAAAUAUUUUUGUAGGAUAUAGUGGUGUGUAGGGGGCUGUGCUGUUUUUUCUUUGCUUCAACUUUGCUUUAAAAGGGAUUGUGUUGUAAUUUUUCUAUUUAAAAUCCACAUGAAUUAUAUUUUAAAAGAAUUUUGAAAGAAAUAAGACGUUUUUCUCACUUUUUAAUGUAUUUUCCUUCCUGAAAAUAUAUACAUUUCACUGAUCCCUGUCUGGCUGACAGUAAAUCUAGCUUUGCAGCCAAGUAUUUCUUGUGUUUAAUUGGCAACAUUGAAUAACUUCUGUGAGUCUUCUCAUUUUUGUAAUCCCUGAGAGCCAU